rnacentral:rRNA from 1 species
UACGGAGGGUGCAAGCGUUAAUCGGAAUUACUGGGCGUAAAGCGUGCGCAGGCGGUUUGUUAAGUCUGUUGUGAAAUCCCCGAGCUCAACUUGGGAAUUGCAAUGGAUACUGGCAGGCUGGAGUAUGGUAGAGGAAGGUGGUAUUCCCGGUGUAGCAGUGAAAUGCGUAGAGAUCGGGAGGAACACCAGUGGCGAAGGCGGCCUUCUGGACCAAUACUGACGCUCAUGCACGAAAGCGUGGGGAGCAAACAGG